UGUACUUCAAAUGCGUCUUCGCGCUUUUUUUCCCCGAUUAUGAAACCAUCCGCGGUGGUAACGGUGGUUCGUUCGUACUCACUUGCUGAAGUGGUAUUAGAUUUCGAGUGGAAAACUUUGGAUCGUUUUUGCAAUAACGGCAGCAACAACACUGCGUGGUUUCGGUUCGAGCACCUGUCCUCACUUGGAGGUCUCAUUUGAAAUUCUGCGACAUCAAGAAGGCAUGGCACCAUCAUAUUGCCCAACAGAACAGCUGUCAACUCCAGGGCUUGCCUGCUAGAAGUGCAUGUUGAAAAUGGACUGUGGUACGAAGGAACCCAAGAGUAGAAAAGGAUGAAGAAGGAUUGGAACUAGCCCUUGCUUAUCUAAAUGUCUGUUCUUGAAGCUUAGGGCACAGGAGCUUGUUUCUUGUAGUCUUAGGGCCGAAACUAGAAAAUUGCCCUUCAGCAAACACGAUUACUUUGAUGGAGCGUCUUCAGAAGGUUCAUAGAAAUGGCAGGGCCAGCCUUUCAAAAUAUACUGCUCACCAAACUGCUGCAGAAACCAGAUUUCAAAACAUGCGAGGUUACCUGAUACGCCAACUUUCUGAGAUGCAGGGGAGAUGAGCUACGUCAGCUAGACAAAGAUCCUCACUGCGACUGGUGCUUUACACAACGAACUCAAGGACAAUGCAGACUACAACAAGAAAAUCCUGGAUGCAAUCUUGGGUGCCCUUUUUGUCUUGGAGCAACGCUCACAAUCCUCCGACAGUCCAGCAACCUUGCAGCAGCCAUGCAGAGUAGCAGCAGGCAGGCUAUUGCGUCGCAUGGCCAGGUUUCACCCACCAGGCCAGUGCCACCUGCUCCCUUGACAGCCAAAAGCAGCAAUAAGAUUGGUUGCUGCAUUGACUGACCACACUUGUCAAGCCGACUGUGCAAGCCGAAGUUCACUGUUCAUUAGCCAAGUGCUGGGUGGAAUCCAAUCUGCAUCACUGCCUUGGUUCUGCACAGUGGCCACAUUGCUCUGCCAUGCAAAAUGCCUUGCUCGGAGAAUGUGCUCACCACCGAAGAGGAACCUGAAUGUAAGCAUCAAUGCGCUGAAGCUGCUCGCUGACGCUAUGCGGAUAAGACGACUAAAGCAUGGUCUAUCAGCCUACAGCAAAUGCAGGAUGCUCAGUGUGAACGUCGAGCAACCAACACAGACAUGGAAAGGGCUGCCCAUUUGGAGAAACCGAAAGCUGUCGACCAUCAACACUGUAUUGCCGAAAUGGUUGGGCAUCGGAGUGUCCAGGCUGUCCAAGCUGCUAUUCGUAUACUUGGAUUGUCAUUAUAGAUGAGUUCUGCCCGAAUUUUUUUCACUUGUGCUUUUCUGUCAUUGGUAAGGCUCAUAUACCAAAGGAAAUCCUAUGUGCAAUUUUGUGUUAAAUGAAUUCUAAUGAGUUAAGCACUAGGUUAUUAGUACUAACAUAUCCAGAACUCAAGCCAUAGAGAGUGUACUUACCUGAUGAGCCCUAAAUGAAGCAUGCAUGCUGAAGUUGUCCACUUAAUGCGGGAAUUGAUGCAAAGCACUGGGUGACGUGACCUGUCACAUGUGGCAUGUAGUACAGUAUACGAGCAGCAACCGACAACCUGAACUGUUCAGAACUAGUAAGUAAGUUCUAUUUCCCUUUUAAGUUCUUAUUCCAUUUUAGAACAGGGCAGGCGCUCGAAGCACUGCAGGAAAAAGAGUCAUUGGUUGUGGUUCUAUAGUUGUGGCUUCAUAGUUGUAGGGUAUGGUAGUGCACUCACGUUCACCGAUUCACUGCCUCACCCUCUCCACAUUUUUGCUCAGAGACAGAGUUAGCUCCACAUUUGAGAAUUUGGAAACGCAAGAAUGUGUUCACCUCUGAGCCAACCACAUUUUUUUCUUUGUUCGCCAGUUGACAUCACAUCAAUAUAAACUCCGUAUUGGCAAAGUAGCAGCUUUUGCUUUCGUUUCUGUAGAAAUGCAAAAACAUCAGUAGAUUCAAGUGGCUUAUCACUGAAUCAGCAGGAAAUGUUAAAAAUCAGCAGAUCUGCUGAUAAAUCAGCAGCUGUGGCACCACUGGCAUGGACCAGACGAGUCACUGUAGAGGUUGUGCCAGUUGCUUGGAACACCUGCCCAGGAGACCAAUCGCGAAGUGCGCUGGAGCCCUGUUGCGGGCACGGCCAAUCGGACACCUUGGAACGACCUUCAAACAUGUGCUUUAUGUGUGCUUGUUUCUAUGCGGAGGAGAGAGCGGAAGCAGUGUAUUUGAAAAUGGAGAAACACGCCUUCUCAUGAGAGCAAUAUGGUGGCACUGAGUUGCGUUGUUGCGGUGAUAUCAUGGCUUGAAAAAUGCAGUUAUUCUUGCGAUUUACAUGAAAUGUUUUGCCGCCUUGGCUGAUACAAUACAUUUUUUAGACUGCUUCUUUUUGGUUUCAAAGGUACUUUGUAAUCAGAAAAAAGAGUUAUAAAAACUGAAAAUGUGAUUUUCAAAAGCUGUUUUUAGUUAAUGUUAGCUAUGUAAAAGAUGCAUCUUCCCUUAAUUCUGUUCCAUCUAAUUUGCUCAUUUGUCACACAAAACAGUAUUUCUGUAUAGUGACUACGGCAAAUACAUGUCUUGUCUAAAAGGAAAUCCUUGACCAUAAUGAAUAUAGUAUAACGAAAUAGUAGUUGCAGUGAUUGUUUCAUGCUAUUUUAAAGGACACGAAAGGGUAGGUUAUAGGGGAACAAGCUAGGAAAAUAGGUUAGUUUUUUAGAAUAAUUAUGUCGUGAUUACAAUGAACAAAGCUCUUCUGAAAAAAAAAUAAAUAGAAGGAAAUUAGUGAAUGAUAGGAUUGCCACCAUACUAAGGCAAUAAUGCACCCGAGAUGUAAAUUGGCCCCAACCCCACCAAAACCGUGUACGCAGAAACAGGUGUGGGAUCAUGGCAGUAGGACUACGAACAAGCUGGCGAGGAGUGUUAAUGUCCACAAACAGAUACACAGAUGGCCACAUGCACAUGCCUUGUAGCACAGUACCACGCAGGAAUACUGUAUGCAGAAAUAUAAGUCCCAAUAGCACACAAAAAAGAAAAGUCUUAAUGUAAGUCGUUGUGCGAAUGCCAGAAAAAUGACACCAGCUAUUUUGAGUACAGAUAGAGACACAAGCAUGCCAUUGAGACAAGAGAAUGAUGACAAUAAACAGUGUGUGCCAGAAGCAGUACACACAUGUACUCAAGAUAACCUGGAAUCACUCACAUAUUGGGGCAAGGCCAUCUGUCGGAAGCGCCUCGCAUGCAUAGUAUGAUGAAUAAAGCGGCGCGCUCCUCAUAGGUUUGGCUGUCGGCACACAAUAAACACAUCACAUAGGAGCCCUCUUGUACAUUUAUGUAAGUACUCUCUAAAUGAAAGAAGUUUUUUGCUGUCAAUAUAAUAAUCUUGGGCAAAUAUAAAACACAAAAUGGUUUACAGACAUUAUCUCUUUACCGAAUACAUACAGUGAAUGCCCACUGCGCGCGACAGUGGCGAUCGAGUCCCCUGACCUAGACUCCUGUGUUAAAGGCUGCAAUUGCCGAGAGCAAACUAUGUGAAAUAUGUUCUCAUAGUGUGCUGUCUGUAUAACCAGACGGAGUACAACAGAAUGAAGUCUCAAUGCAGUGAUCGCAAGGGUUCACUCUUACCGACUGCGCGUCUGCAUGCAUGUCCAUGCACAAUGUUUCGCUUUCACUGCGAGCGCGUUUUCGCACCGUUCCAUGAGAGUUAGGCCACAGCAUAUGAGCAUUUAACAGUACACAAGCAACCAUUGUUGCGUGGACACCAUCAGAGCUGUUCAAAAAAUAAGUUUGUUAUAACUAGGGACUUCGACGCAUACGGCAACUUGUGAUGUGCCGUCGCGACGAUUCAAUCUUGUUUGUUUUCGUUUCUUCUGAAUUCUUGGACGUUUCAUUAUGAUUAUUUCUCAAGUUGCAUCGCACUGUAUGUUUACCGGACUUGUCAGUGAGCAAUUUUCUGCUGCUUAACAUUUCUAAUCCAGUAUACAUUUAUUGAUUGGCGCCAACUCAAACAUGAGCAUAUGCUAUGCUGUGAUGUUAGGAUUGUCACGUUGCAAAGCGUGUGACGCGAGGAAGAUGGAGGAGACGGUGCAUGAUGAGCAAACACACAAUUAUAUUAGACGGCACGUGAACACGAAAAAAUAUCUUAACCUAGACCCACACAUACAAGGUUGUUCGUAAGUAGGAAAAAUAAAUGUAGUCUCACGAGGUUGCCGUUAAGUCCGGAGUGUGGUGACACGUAGAGUCCUUGACGUGAAACGCUUGUUCGUCGAGUGAUGACCGGCGUGGAAUAGCAGACGCAGCAGCACGGGGCAGGAAAAGGUGGACGGCCCACAGCUCCGUAGACGAGAACAGGCCACUCGGUCGCCCAGUCACCCAAAGCUCGCGCGUAGAAGCAGGUUCCAAAAUGCCGGCAGGCCGACCUGAGGCCUCGUGCAAGACAAUGACCCGAGGCGCUCCUCGUCUGGACGACGGACGCUCGCUCUCCCGAACCUCGCGCGUAGAUGCGGGUUCGAGGCUGCAGCAGGCCGUUCCGGGGUCUCGUGCCGUGCAACGACUCAAGGCGUUCCCUGUCCCGAAGACGGACGCUCGGUCAGGUGAACCUCACCAGGAGAUGUGGGUUCCGAAGGCCCGGUGGCCCUAGUCGCGCCGGCGUUCCAACGAUCUCCGUUGCGCGAGCGCCUUCGUCUUUCUUUUCCUCUUGUUGAGGACGGCCACAAUGUCGUCUGCUCUUGCGCUCAGUUCUUUGUGUGUACUUCUUCACAAUCACCCCCUACUUAAGAAAGUUCUCUCAUUCAAAGAACUUGAGGGUACUCGCUAUCUGCUGGUCCACUGUAGCACACACGUACCACAAGAGUAUUACCACUGCACCACAGUUCCGAGCACCGCACACUUGGUACGUUUGAGUACACAUAAAUAUUGCCACAGUGCUACAGUUCCGAGCACCGCACACUCGGCAUGUAAGAGUACACAUAAAAAUUACUACAACACUAGAGUUUCGAGCACCGCACACUCGGCAUAUGACAACAUUAACAAGACACAACACCACGAUUGAGGGUGAAAAAAAAAUCCAUAAAACUAACAUGCGAGCAAAUGUUGUUCGAUGCACCGGUUUGAAGUGCAUGCUUUUACAACACCAUCUUUAGACAACAUGUUUAAAACACAAUGAGGGAGCGAUUCCGAGAGACUCGCGUAGGCCGCCGAUUCUUUUUCUUGAAACGGUACGCAUGUCGAUCUUCAUUUUCGGUGUCACUAGUCUGACAAGCAGCUGACGCUUCCGGGGAUGGCGGGGAUAUAAGUGGCCGUUCCUCAUACUUCUUCAGUAGAUUUACAUGAAAUAGUGCCGUCCUUGUACCGAGGUCAAUAACGUAAUCGACGUCAUUUCUUCUCUCAAGUACCGUGAAUGGCCCUUUCCACGUAAGAAUCAAUUUGUUGUUGUCCGAAGGCAGCAGUAGCAGAACCUUGUCUCCAACAGCUAAAUGACGUGGUCUGGCCUUCCGGUCGUAGUGUUUCUUCUGUAAAAGUUUUGCUUUUUGAAGCUCCUCCUUGGCCAAAUGACAAGUGUCUUCAAGAUGCUUCCGUAACUCAACUACAUACCCGUAUGAGGUUUUUGUGUCAUCAUCAAGAUGAUCACCUGUUUAUAAUUCUUUCAAUAUCGCCAU